GGGCGGUGGGGGCGGGAUCGGCUUCACCUGGAUCGAUUGGUGAUGGCUGUGCCCGGCACGCUGCUCAGUGCCGUGGUUGAUUAGCGAUGUCUGCCGCGGCCCCGGAGGGGCCGUCUAAGGCUGACCGUUUACCUACCGUCUGGGGUGUAUGCUGCGUCCAGCAAAGACUCAGAGGGGUGGCCAGGAGCUGCUUCUCUACUGGUGCACGUUCACCCGCUCAGCGAGCAGGGGGCAGGCAGCGGUUGCCGUGGGCUCGGACCCACGCAGGGGGCCCACCCAUGCCCCCACCCCACUCCCGCUCCCGUGGACAGGCAGGCCGCGGUGGGGAGCACUGGACGGGGAGAAGCGUGGCUGGAUGGGGCUCAUCACUCUGCUGUCUGGCACCCUCUGAGGCCGGAGGCGGCUGGAGUGUCUGCCCAGCACCAGCCGGGACUGUCCACCUCUCAGGUCCCUUCCCCUCCUCUGGCCCUGGGGCCAGCCUGCCGGAAUCCCUACCAUGCCUCCCUAGGACAGACCACAUGGCCCAGCCAUCCCUCAGGACGGGGCCCCUCCCCGACCAUCAGGCUUGGCCCCUUGCUGAGCCCUCAGGGACACUGCAGCCCCCACCCCCUUCCUGGGAGUCCAAAGCCUGGUGGCACAGCUGGGGUGCUCUGCGUCCUCUGCUGCUGCAAGUGGGACCAGCCAGGCAGGGGCAUCCAGGAGGGCUUCCUGGAAGAGGAAGCUCCGGGCCCUUCCCUCCCCGUCCUCACCUGGCCCACCUGGCUCCCCCCCCCCCCACUCCUGGCUGGGCCUCUCCUUGA
rnacentral:lncRNA from 1 species